rnacentral:rRNA from 1 species
UCUUUCCUACGGGAGGCAGCAGGGAGGAAUAUUGGACAAUGGGAGAGGUCCUGAACCAGCCAAGCCGCGUGAGGGAAGACGGCCCUAUGGGUUGUAAACCUCUUUUGUCGGAGAACAAAACCCGGGACGUGUCCCGGACUGCGUGUAUCCGAAGAAAAAGCAUCGGCUAACUCCGUGUCAGCAGGCGCGGUAAUACGGAGGAUGCGAGCGUUAUCCGGAUGUAUUGGGUUUAUAGGGU